GUCUACGGCCAUACCACCCUGAACACACCCGAUCUCGUCUGAUCUCAGAAGCUAAGCAGGGUCGGGCCUGGUUAGUACUUGGAUGGGAGACAUUCAUAUUGGAAAGCUCUGAUCUAAACC
rnacentral:rRNA from 1 species